AGUGAACGCUGGCGGUAGGCCUAACACAUGCAAGUCGAACGGCAGCACAGUAAGAGCUUGCUCUUACGGGUGGCGAGUGGCGGACUGGUGAGGAAUACAUCGGAAUCUACUUUUUCGUUGGGGAUAACGUAGGGAAACUUACGCUAAUACCGCAUACGACCUACGGGUGAAAGCAGGGGAUCUUCGGACCUUGCGCGAUUGAAUGAGCCGAUGUCGGAUUAGCUAGUUGGCGGGGUAAAGGCCCACCAAGGCGACGAUCCGUAGCUGGUCUGAGAGGAUGAUCAGCCACACUGGAACUGAGACACGGUCCAGACUCCUAAGGGAGGCAGCAGUGGGGAAUAUUGGACAAUGGGCGCAAGCCUGAUCCAGCCAUACCGCGUGGGUGAAGAAGGCCUUCGGGUUGUAAAGCCCUUUUGUUGGGAAAGAAAAGCAGCAGGUUAAUACCCCGCUGUUCUGACGGUACCCAAAGAAUAAGCACCGGCUAACUUCGUG
rnacentral:rRNA from 1 species